GGGACAACACGUGACAGCUGCUGGAAAAUUCCUGCAGCACUGCAGAGCACCGCGGUCCACUGCAUGUGCUGAUUGUGUUUUGUGUCAAUGAUUCUCACCAGGAAAGCUAGAUCUGUACACAGAGCGGAGGUGAAAGCAUCGCGAGAGGACGGAUGCAGGAGUGGGUUUCCAGAAGUUUCUGUUGCUCACAGCACCGCCGGAGGACACGGAAGGUACAAGCAAAAGAUUAUUGAACACCUGCUGCGUGGGACUCUACUUCAUUCCCACACCUGCUGAAACAGCUGGCUCCCUGCUUGGGGACAAAGACACAAAGAGCUCACUUUAAUCAGUUACCCUCUUUUGGUUUGAGUUUGAAGAAAAUUUAUUACGUUGGAAAAAAAUAUCCCACAAAGUUCUGAGGAAAAAAUAGAGUGUGUAUACACGGUCAUAGCCCGGGAGACAUUAACAGUGGCCACCUUUGGAAUGUGGCAUACUGAUUGUUUUAAUGAUUUUUUCACUUUCCAGGGGCUUUUCCUCUUGUCUACAAUGAAGAUCAGUAUGUCUGAUAAUCAGAACAGUUAUUUUAAAGAUGUUAUGUUUUCUCCAAGCAUCUCAUAUUUAAAGGCAUUUCAGAAUGGCAACUCAAGAAACUAUUUCAGGAUUGAAAUGUUUUGUGUUGAUGAUUUAUUUCCUUGAAUCUUUUGUUACUGAGAUAGAAAAAAAUGAAAUGAAAGCAUUGCCGAGGCAUUUUCUCUCCUGGCAACUAUUCUGACCUCAAGUAAGGAGGAGACAGACUGACUGAGGUGUCACUCGUGCAGUCCUAGGUUAUUCCCACUUAGGCAGAGCUGCUGCUGGCUGGUGCCAAGGUAAGACCAUCUGCAAAGCUCGGCAGGGACACAGACGGCCACCUGGAGCCAAAGGCCUGAUGGAAGGAACUGAAGCCUCACGGGAGGUGUAAUUGAUAAGAACAUAAUAAAUCAUUCAAGUUGUUAAAAAGUGAUUCAACUAGGUCUAAGAGUCACUGGGUACUUUGAUCUAUUCCUUGGCUGUUAAUUUACUUUUAGGGGCACUUCUGGCUCUGUGUCUAUUGGAAAUGGAAAGUAGGCUUUCUAAUAGGUAAAUACUUCUGAAAGAUUAGGUGGGGAGCCAGUUGCUAUGCUCAUAACAAAGCAAUUGGUAUUUAUGGAACAACAUGCCAGAAGCUACAAUAGUUACUGCCUCUAGAGAGGGGAUUUUGGACUUUGGAUUCAGGAGGUGACCUACUUUUCCUUGUAUAUCCUUUUAUACUAUUUGCACUAAUGAGUGUGCACUUGUGCUGCCCUUUCAAUUAAGCCGCUACUAACAAAUGUACAUAAUAUGUUUUUUUUUUCCUUCAUGCAAAGACAUCAGCAUAAAAUCCUUUCAUGAACAUCCUUACUUCUGGUCUGGUUUACAUUUUAUUCUUUCCUCAAUUGGCUUCAAGGCAGUUUAUGUAAAGUGCAUGUACAAUCUUCUUGUUUUCUUAUCUAAAAUCUUCAGUAGAACACUUUUCUUUUUGGGUGUUGUACAGAAGGCUGUUUCGGACUUACUCUGGGUGGAUAUGUCUAUGCUCAUUUUUCAGACCCUUCUGACAGCAUAGCCAUGUCUGAGCUCUUGGAGGAUUUUCAGGCAGGGCAUGCGCUCUUUCUCCUGAUGCUUUGGGGACCUGUUUGCUUGUUCUCAUCUCCCUCACUGCUUCCUGAUUCUCCUUCUGAACAUGGUCCUGCACUCACACUCCCCAGGCCUACAUCCCUUCAUCUGUCUCCAAUAAUCUUGUCCCAUGGAGUAAUAGGUUUUACUUGUGACUCCACUCCUUAUCAUAAAUUGAAUUUCAUAAUUUUAGGGAAGAGGCCAACACUAUUUAGAGGGCACAGGAAAUGGAAGCGUAUUUGAAAUUUCCACUUAUUAUAAGGCUGGUUCAUUGCUGCCAGCUCCUCAUUUCUAUCACUCCACCUUCCUCUUUUGCCCCACAUCUGGGGAGAUGUCGAGUACACCCAAGAUUUCCCUCCUUUAGCUCCAACAGAGCUCAAACUAUGCAAAGCCUGGCCCAGUCACAGGAGCCUGAACCCCAAUCAUGUGAUGCAACAGUUAUAAAUACUGUCUGUCCUUUUUCUCUGCUCAUACUUGCUUGUAAGCAUCUCCAGCCAUCCAGAGCGAAUCGGUCAUGUUAGUAAUAAAUCUAUCCCCUCAUUUAGUGUGUGGUAUUGCUAGUUUCAGCUUCUGAUCCAAAUUUUGUUGGAGACACCUACCUGCCUCUGAGGGGCAAACACAAUGCUCUGAAAGUCUAUGCUUCAGAUGCAAAUCCUAUUUUAUGCAUAUGAUACUCAUAGAGAACUUAUGCACACAAAGAAGUAAGGAGGACAGAUUUCAAAGCACACGGGGUGCAGGCAGACAAGCUUGAUUAAACUUCUUAGCUGGAACAUGACAGGAGGUGGGGAAAUGAAUCUAAGCAUUUAAAAACCAUGAAGUAAAUUUAGGAUAUUCUUUUUUGGUACAAAAUGUCAUUGAAUCAGUGAGACAUUUCCCAUUAACCUGAUUGUAAUAAGAACACAGGGCUGCCCAAGGGUUUGUUUCCUGGCACCUGCCAACUUCCAUGAAUAAGCCAAGUGACCAUGACUUCAGGUUCAUAAUCUGUCACCAAACCCAUCCAGGGUCAAGUCACAGCACUCACUGCCAUCCUGUGUGCUGUCCUAUGAAUAGGCUCAGAGGGCAGAAUAGGAACCCAACACCCCUUGAUGAAUGAUGCUAUCAACAAAAUCUAUGCCAUUGCCUUUGGGGAUUUUCAAAGUCACAGUGGCUCAGCCUUUAAAGGACAGGGAUGAAUUCUACAUUUCAGGCCACUUAAAAAUUGUGUCAGUGACUAAGAGAACAAGAAGACUCUUACUAAGUAACUAAUCUCAAUACAAGCAAUUUGAAAAUAGCUAUAAUGGAAAUCACACCAGGAGGAGGACAUCAGAUGUCUGUUAGAAAAACAAAACAUAACUGAACCUUUUACUCUGCUCUGUUAUAAGUACCCAGGUCACAGGCUAUGGAGAAAGUUUAUAGAACACCACUUUGUUCUUCCUCCCUUUUAAAAAUGUCAUUGAUGAAACAACACAAAAGAUACAUCAAAAAUAGAAAAUAUCCUGUAAUCUAAUCCUUUUCAAUAUGCAUCAUUACCAGUCAAGCCUUAUUUCAAUGAUUAUAUAUUUUUAAGUAGGCAUAAAUCUUUUAUGUUAAAUUUCAUUUUAACGGGUCAUAUACUUUUUUCCUCUUAGAAGUACAGUUUUCAAAGUGAGACUUUAAAAAUAGCUGCGUGCCAAUACAUGUAAUUAAUGAAUCAGUUUUCCAACUCUAUAUUCCUUUGGUUGGGCACUAAAAUUUUCCAACAGUUUCUAUUGAAAUUCCGUAUUAUUUUUUUCCACAGAAUUGGGUCCAUUUUUAUGUUGACAUUUUUUUGUAGAAAUAGAGGGAAGAUUUCUUACCUGGAUCUUCAUACAUAGGAGUCUUUUUAUACCCAGGAGUGGGAAACAACUAAUACAUUUUAUAAUCAGGGGUGUUAAUGAAGUCUUUUACACCAAAUGGUAAAGACGGAUUUAGUCAUCUGAUGUGUCUAACCUUAGACAAGCACACCAAGCUGUUCUGUGCUCUUUACUGGUUGAGCUCAGUGACAUGAACAAUACAGCAAACUGUCAUUGCUCCCCGAUGCCAAAGAGCUUAUUUUCAAGGCAAAGAUGUACUUGGAAAAGAAGCAUCAUUAGCUUCUGUGGUUCACAAAAACUAUACUGGAGGGAAAACACAUGUCACAAGGGAUUUGGUUGAGCCAAACAUUAUCAUAGAGACAAAAAUACUAAUUUGUUGAUAGAAGAACUAAUAUGUAAAGCAAAGACAAACUUGGUUUCUUUCCUUGGGAAGCUGACAUUUUCACGGAGAGGGAGGCAAAGGGCAAUGAAAAGGGAGUGAGCGGCUAGAGCUGCGGCUUGUGUGACCAAGAAUAAUCUCCGAAGUUAUGAUGGCCACGGGAGAGAGGCUGGUAGUAAAAUGUGAAAGACUUUGAAAUGAGCGAAAAUGAUAAAUGGAUCUUUUCUGGUCUACCCUUUCAGGUUAACUGUCGCUUUCCCUGGCUUGAGCUAUUUUGCAACUCUGUAUAAAGCUGAUAGUAAUGCUCAUGAUCACUGUCCAUAAAACUGUGAAUAAAUUUGGUCUGGUACCAUACAA